GACGAACCGUGCGAACGUUGUUCGGAUUCACUGGGCUUAAAGGGUGCGUAGGCGGCAGGCCCAGUCCAGGGUGAAAGCUUCCGGCUUAACCGGAAAAGUGCCUUGGAUACUGGUCUGCUCGAGGGAGGUAGGGGCAGAUGGAACUUCCGGUGGAGCGGUGAAAUGCGUAGAUAUCGGAAGGAACGCCGGUGGCGAAAGCGAUCUGCUGGACCUCUUCUGACGCUGAGGCACGAAAGCUAGGGGAGCAAACGGG
rnacentral:misc_RNA from 1 species